rnacentral:rRNA from 1 species
GACGAACGCUGGCGGCGUGCUUAACACAUGCAAGUCGAACGGAAAGGCUCCAGCUUGCUGGAGUACUCGAGUGGCGAACGGGUGAGUAACACGUGGGUGAUCUGCCCUGCACUUCGGGAUAAGCCUGGGAAACUGGGUCUAAUACCGGAUAGGACCGCACUUUGGUGUGUGUGGUGGAAAGGUUUUUCUGGUGUGGGAUGAGCUCGCGGCCUAUCAGUUUGUUGGUGGGGUAAUGGCCUACCAAGACGGCGACGGGUAGCCGGCCUGAGAGGGUGGACGGUCACAUUGGGACUGAGAUACGGCCCAGACUCCUACGGGAGGCAGCAGUGGGGAAUAUUGCACAAUGGGGGAAACCCUGAUGCAGCGACGCCGCGUGGGGGAUGAAGGCCUUCGGGUUAUAAACUCCUUUCGCUAGGGACGAAGCUUUUUGUGACGGUACCUGGAGAAGAAGCACCGGCUAACUACGU